UACAGAAGUGGCAAGCGUUGUUCGGAAUUACUGGGCGUAAAGGGCGCGUAGGUGGCCUUCUUAGUCAGACGUGAAAUCCCCGGGCUUAACUCGGGAACUGCGUCUGAUACUGGAAGGCUCGAGUUCGGGAGAGGAAUGUGGAAUUCCCAGUGUAGCGGUGAAAUGCGUAGAUAUUGGGAGGAACACCAGUGGCGAAGGCGGCUCACUGGACUGGUACUGACGCUGAUGCGCGAAAGCGUGGGGAGCAAACAGG
rnacentral:rRNA from 1 species